GGCAAGAUGGCCGAGCGGUUAUGGCGUGUGACUCAAGCGCAAGCUUGCCUCUUAGAGGUGAUUUCUCAUGGGAGUAAUCCCGCGUGGGUUCAAAUCCCACUCUUGUCA
rnacentral:tRNA from 1 species